UACACGACUGUUGUUUGUUUGCUCGGAUCAGAGCGUCCCGGGAAUGGUUACCAUGCUGUGUGUUUGCGUGGCUGCGUAGAAAAAGUGUUUAUGUAUUGCGCAUGUGGUGACGGAUGACCAACGCAAGAGUCAAGAUGUGUUCAGGAAUUUUGAAGAAGAAACAUCUGAGACAAAACAUACCAUUCAAAAGUUUGGGGCAAAAGAAGGAGAUAAAUGAUGUAAUUUUCUUCAGAGAUCUACAGUGAUCCUCCACUCCUGCUGAACACUGAAGUCCACAUGUUAGACUCU